CAUGUAGGCGGUUCCGUAAGUCUGGCGUGAAAUGGUAAGGCUCAACCUUAUCCUGCGUCGGAAACUGUGGGACUAGAAUCACUGAGGGGAAAUCAGAAUUCCAGGUGUAGGGGUGAAAUCUGUAGAUAUCUGGAAGAAUACCGGUGGCGAAGGCGGAUUUCUGGCAGAUGAUUGACGCUGAGGUGCGAAAGUGCGGGGAGCAAACA
rnacentral:rRNA from 1 species